rnacentral:rRNA from 1 species
AAGGGCACCACAAGAACGCGUGGAGCAUGUGGCUUAAUUUGACUCAACGCGGGAAAUCUUACCGGGUCCGGACACACUGAGGAUUGACAGACAAAUACACACACUACGGUGUGUGCAUGAAAUAUGCUAGUUCUUUCAUGAUUAUGUGAUAGGUGGUGCAUGGCCGUUCUUAGUUCGUGGAGUGAUCUGUCUGCUUAAUUGCGUUUCACUAAAGGCACAUACACAUAAUAUUGUUGUGUUGUGUACAAUUUAUAAUUAUACGCAUACACACAUAUUAUAUUGUGCUUUGAAAGCAACGAACGUGACCGCAACCUCUUGUUGCCUGUAUAUAUGUGUAUUUUAUACACACCACAGGCUAUUAUAAACUAGAGGGACCGCUGUUACUUUCUUUUAAACCAGAGGAAGGUUGCGGCAAUAACAGGUCUGUGAUGCCCUUAGAUGUUCCGGGCUGCACACGUGCUACAAUGAUCAUUGCAGUGCGCAUCUCAUUUUGUUAUACACUGCUUGUGCGUAUGUGCAUCACAAUAUUUAUAUGUGUGUGUGUAUGUAUUGCACGCAGUAAAGCCUACUUCGAAAGUUGUGGGUAAUCAAUUUGAAGUAAUGAUUUCUCCAAAUAUAUACUGCACACUCAUAUACAGUAUCUUAUGUCCAUGAAAAUUUUAUUAUUUUUGUGUGUGCAUUCGAUGCUCGUAUGUGCAAUUGUCAAUUCAUGGUGGGGACAGACCAUUGUUAAUUGUUGGUCUCGGUCUUAACUAGGAAUGCCUUGUACGGGUCUUUGGUUCAACAAACCACCCGGAAUACGUCCCUGCCCUUUGUACACACCGCCCGUCGCUCUUACCGAUGGACUUCUCUGUGAGUUUGAGGGACUGGAUUUUAUAUCUAUGGAAACUCAAACGAACAGUGUGGUCUAAAGGAAAGAGAAGUCGUAACAAGGCAUCCGUAGGUGAACCU